GGAGUCGCUAGUAAUCGCAGAUCAGCAACGCUGCGGUGAAUACGUUCCCGGGCCUUGUACACACCGCCCGUCACGUCACGAAAGUCGGUAACGCCCGAAGCCGGUGGCCCAACCCCUCGGGGAGGGAGCCGUCGAAGGCGGGAUCGGCGAUUGGGACGAAGUCGUAACAAGGUAGCCGUACCGGAAGGUGCGGCUGGAUCACCUCCUUUCU
rnacentral:rRNA from 1 species